rnacentral:rRNA from 1 species
GAUAAAAAACCAACGCCCUUUCGGGGCUCUUUGGUGAUUCAUGAUAACUUAACGGAUCGCAUGGCCUUGCGCCGGCGACGGUUCAUUCAAAUUUCUGCCCUAUCAACUUUCGAUGGUAAGGUAUUGGCUUACCAUGGUUUCAACGGGUAACGGGGAAUUAGGGUUCGAUUCCGGAGAAGGAGCCUGCGAAACGGCUACUACAUCCAAGGAAGGCAGCAGGCGCGCAAAUUACCCAAUCCCGACACGGGGAGGUAGUGACAAUAAAUACUGAUACAGGGCUCUUUUGGGUCUUGUAAUCGGAAUGAGUACAAUUUAAACCCCUUAACGAGGAACAAUUGGAGGGCAAGUCUGGUGCCAGCAGCCGCGGUAAUUCCAGCUCCAAUAGCGUAUAUUAAAGUUGUUGCAGUUAAAAAGCUCGUAGUUGAACCUUGGGCCUGGCUGGCCGGUCCGCCUCACCGCGUGCACUGGUCCGGCCGGGCCUUUCCUUCUGGAGAGCCCCAUGCCCUUCACUGGGUGUGCGGGGGAACCAGGACUUUUACUUUGAAAAAAUUAGAGUGUUCAAAGCAGGCCUUUGCUCGAAUACGUUAGCAUGGAAUAAUAGAAUAGGACGUGCGAUCCUAUUUUGUUGGUUUCUAGGACCGCCGUAAUGAUUAAUAGGGAUAGUCGGGGGCAUCAGUAUUCAAUUGUCAGAGGUGAAAUUCUUGGAUUUAUUGAAGACUAACUACUGCGAAAGCAUUUGCCAAGGAUGUUUUCAUUAAUCAGUGAACGAAAGUUAGGGGAUCGAAGACGAUCAGAUACCGUCGUAGUCUUAACCGUAAACUAUGCCGACUAGGGAUCGGGCGAUGUUUCUAUCUUGACUCGCUCGGCACCUUACGAGAAAUCAAA